rnacentral:rRNA from 1 species
CAAUAGCGUAUAUUAAAGUUGUUGCGGUUAAAAAGCUCGUAGUUGGAUUUCUGCUUGGGACAACCGGUCCGCCCUCUGGGUGAGUAUCUGGUCUGGCCCGGGCAUCUUCUUGGGGAACGUUACUGCACUUGACUGUGUGGUGCGGAGCCCAGGACCUUUACUUUGAGGAAAUUAGAGUGUUUCAAGCAGGCAUUUGCCUUGAAUACAUUAGCAUGGAAUAAUAAGAUAGGACCUCGUCCCUACCUUGUUGGUUCGUAUGGAUGAGGUAAUGAUUAAUAGGGACAGUUGGGGGCAUUAGUACUUAACUGUCAGAGGUGAAAUUCUCCGAUUUGUUAAAGACUAACUUAUGCGAAAGCAUUUGCCAAGGAUGUUUUCAUUAAUCAAGAACGAAAGUUAGGGGAUCAAAGACGAUUAGAUACCAU